CCGUUUGUGGUGGGUGUUUUAGUUCGAUGCACAUAACAAAAUCCAUCCUUAAAAAUCGAAAUAUAAUUUUAUAUAAGAUUUCAUUAUUAUUAUAACACAAAAGAAGACAAUUAAGAGGCUUGUCAAUAUUUAAAAAAUCAAUUGUUCCAUUUAGGAACCUGCCACUCUGUUAGUGAAGACAGUCCGAGUUAUGGCGUCGUUCGCGGCGCAAGCAGCACUCCGGUCCAGAUGGAGCUCCUUAAUAGAGUCGACCAGCGUCGACGUACCUGGUGAAGUCACUGAUGGCGUCAGAUCGGUCGUUGGAUGGCUGAAACAGGCAUGAUAUCUGUUAUUGGCACGAAAAAUGGGGCACAUCGCACGUUUAUAUUCGAAACACCGAAAUUGAUGACAUCACAAAAACUUUUGGAUGUUUAAAAAAUAUAUUUACUUUUAAUGAAUUUAUUUUAAUGCAAUUUUAAGGGGUUGUCUAUAAUUUUUACUAUAUAAAUUUGUGAUGUUAUCAAUAAAUUAUGUCAUAUUUUAAUUAUUCAUUAUUAUCUUAAAUAAUUUAAUUCUCAGUUUUUGAGUUUACAUCUGUAUUCAUACCCUUGGUAUUCCUUGGUUUUUAAAUAAAAUCACAAAUUGCUUGAUGA
rnacentral:lncRNA from 1 species